UGUAGCUUAAUGGUAGAGUGCUUGCCUAGCAUGCAUGAAGCCCUGGGUUCGAUUCCCCAGUA
rnacentral:tRNA from 1 species